rnacentral:rRNA from 1 species
UGGGGAAUAUUGCACAAUGGGCGCAAGCCUGAUGCAGCCAUGCCGCGUGGGUGAAGAAGGCCUUCGGGUUGUAAAGCACUUUCAGCGGGGAGGAAGGCGUUAAGGUUAAUAACCUUGGCGAUUGACGUUACCCGCAGAAGAAGCACCGGCUAACUCCGUGCCAGCAGCCGCGGUAAUACGGAGGGUGCAAGCGUUAAUCGGAAUUACUGGGCGUAAAGCGCACGCAGGCGGUCUGUCAAGUCGGAUGUGAAAUCCCCGGGCUCAACCUGGGAACUGCAUUCGAAACUGGCAGGAUAGAGUAUUGUAGAGGGGGGUAGAAGUCCAGGUGUAGCUGUGAAAUGCGUAGAGAUCUGGAGGAAUACCGGUGGCGAAGGCGGCCCCCUGGACAAAGACUGACGCUCAGGUGCGAAAGCGUGGGGAGCAAACAGG